ACCUUUUGACAUGUCUGGACCGGCAGAGAGAUUUGCCUUUUCCUUCGGGAACCAGAACAC
rnacentral:rRNA from 1 species